GGGAGGAGAAGAGCAGCGGGGCAGAAGCCAAACUCCGGGAAUCUGAGGAGAAACUCCGCAAACUCAGAACCAACAUCGUCGCUCUUCUGCAGAAAGUCCAGGAGGAUAUUGAGAUCAGCAGUGACGAUGAGCUGGAUGCCUACAUUGAAGAUCUGGUCACAAAGGGAGAGUGAAACUCCUCUGUUUUACCUACAUUUUCACUCUCUACACGUGUUUCAUGCAUUCUAUGCGCUCUGACGGCUGACUGGAGAUGGUUUGCUGGUCAGCCACAACUUCAUCCCUGUACUGUAACAAUGCAGCAAGAGCCAACUUCAAUUACCAACUUCAAGGCAAUUUUCGGUUGAAAAACACAACUCAGGCCAUCAGCCCAUCCUUGGAUGUAACUUGUGGGCCGAAGGUGAUGAGAGGAACCUGCAGUUUGAAAACUUUGUUCGAUUUUACUCUACAUGGAGGUUUUGAGUUCAUAUUGGCUGUUUUAGGAUCUCAGUGUUGUAAAGCUUAAUGCUCAACCCGAUUUCAUGGAAGAGUCCGCAGCCUUUCUCAGCUCGCAUUGAUUCCUUACAAACCAUUUUGACAUUUUGAGUUUGAAAAUGGGCUUUAACUUGCUGCUAUGUUAUCAGAAUUUCCUCAAGUUUGAGUUCCUUCCCAUUUCAUUUUCCAUGUAUUUGGAUGUGAUAUUCAUUUUGUGUUUUAUUUUUUAAUCCUCCAAUUUUUUUUUUUUUGAAUAAACACAUCUGAUGCUGUUAACAUCUUCAGUUACAGUAUUUAGUCAUCUUUAUAUCUGAGAAUAUUUUUUAAAAAAGUUUUAUUAAAACAGUCCAAUAAAGUUUAGGAUGUACAUGUCUUAUGAUUCUGUUUGUCUGGGGUAAAAAAAAAAAAAAAAAACUUCCAGUUUGUGUUCUAGUUGUAACUUUCAUAUUAUUUUUUUUAUUCAGUUGAUAAAUGCAUUCAACAAUUUGCCGAGAUGGAAAAAAAUAGCCUAUGUUAAAUAUACACACUUUGACCUUAAGUUGUAAAUUUUGUAUUUUGCAUAGCUGCUAGUACAGUUUAAAAAUAUUUGAUUGGAAUGUUGUAAUUGAAUGUAAUGACAUAUAUUUGAUAUAUACCAUAUCUUUAUAAAGCCAUGAAGGAAAGAUGAUCUUAAAUUUGUAAAUAUUCACAGAGGUCAAUUAUUCUGCUAAUUUCUUUUUUUCUGAAUUUGAAAAAAUGAACUGAUAAAUGAUA